AAAAGCUGGGGAACACCCCAGUCUGAAGAGAAACAUUAAAAAGGUUCACAACCCAAGGACCAAUGGUAUCAAAAGCAUUGAUGAAAAGCUUAGUGGGGAUAAUAUCUGAGGGGCUUGAAGAUGGCUUCAUUUUGUCCAACAGGGCUGCUAUUUCAUCAUAAGUCACAGCUGUAAAAGUUGACCAGGAGUGCAAAGGGAGUGCCUCACUCAGAGAACAAGAAAGUUUUGGGGAGAUUUUAGCAUUGAUUUCUUUGAUCUUAUCAACAAAAAAUCUGAGUUUAUUACUGUUUGUCUAUCUAAAGGUACCACGUCUGGGGAUACAAUAGCACUGAUUUAGUCAAAAAGAAUCUUGGGAUUUCUCUUGUUUUUUGAUAUGAGUCUAGAAAAAUAUUCUGAUCUAACAUUUUUCACCGCAUCAUUAAAGGAGAGCAUGAGAUCUCGAAGAUGGAGCCUCUGUACUUCAAGUUUGGUUUUCUUCCAUAGUCGUUCUGUUUUGCGGCAUAUUCUCCUUAAGUUUAAGAUAGAGUCAUUUAUCCAAGGGCAUGUCUUUUCUUGUAAGGCAGAGCUUGUUUUAAUAGGUGCUACUUGUACGGUGUACAUUUUAGGAUAUCGUCAGGUAUCAGACAAAAAAUUGUCAGGUGUCAGUUGUCAAAAAAAAAAUUGUCAGGUAUCAGAAAAAAAAUUGUCAGGUGUCAGUUGUCAAAAAAAAAUUGUCAGGUAUCAGAAAAAAAAUUGUCAGGUGUCAGAAAAAAAAUUGUCAGGUAUCAGAACACAAGGUACCAGAGAGAAAAUCUUCCUGCAGGUGGCGCUGUUGUCAUGUCCCACCCGAAUUGAUUUCCAAAUACGUCAUCAACGUGUGACCGUGGGAGAGCGUAAGGUCAUUGACCUCACCGGAGUUUUACCGUGGUUCAGGCUCCUAACGACACAAGGUAAGUUUAACUUUUUCUCCCUUUUGUUCAUAUUUUUGCCACAGUUGUGUUAUAUUAAGUUGCAGUUAUGUUGUGAAAGUUACAUAUCAGAGACGGAAAGCCAGUUUUGUACGAAACCAAAUCAGUACUAUUUUUGUCUGGCUAAUUCAUUCUAGCUAGCG
ensembl:lncRNA